UCGCCCGGGCCCGGCCCGCGCCCGUCCGGGCCGCCCCCGCCCCCUACGGGAGGCAGCAGGGGGGAAUUUUGGACAAUGGGGGCAACCCUGAUCCAGCCAUUCCGCGUGAGUGAAGAAGGCCUUCGGGUUGUAAAGCUCUUUCGCAAGGGAAGAAAACUUAUGAUCGAAUAAAUCAUGAGGUUGACGGUACCUUGAUAAGAAGCACCGGCUAACUACGUGCCAGCAGCCGCGGUAAUACGUAGGGUGCGAGCGUUAAUCGGAAUUACUGGGCGUAAAGCGUGCGCAGGCGGUUUUGUAAGUCGGAUGUGAAAUCCCCGGGCUCAACCUGGGAACUGCGUUCGAAACUGCAAGGCUAGAGUGUGUCAGAGGGGGGUAGAAUUCCACGUGUAGCAGUGAAAUGCGUAGAGAUGUGGAGGAAUACCAAUGGCGAAGGCAGCCCCCUGGGAUAACACUGACGCUCAUGCACGAAAGCGUGGGGGCCAAACAGGAUUAGAAUCC
rnacentral:rRNA from 1 species